GGUUAAGCUUAGUGCUUCCUCUUUGUUUUCUUUGUUUUCUUUGUUGUUGAAGAGUAAUGGAUAGUUUUUGAAUACUGAGAAGUGAGUCUGUGGAAUAAAUCAGAGAUUGAUUUAUGAAUUAUUGAUUAUAUAAUUGGAAUAGUGAGUAAUUGAAUUAUAUGAGAAGUUAUUGGAAGAUUGAUUAUGGAUGGAAGAUUGAUUGUGGAUGGAAGAUUGAUUAUGGAUGGAAGAUUAUAAUUGUUGUUUAUUGAGAGUUGUAUGUGUGUGUUUCGACAGAGGCAGUCUGUGAUUAUAGGAAUUCUAUGAAUUUAGAUUGGUUGGAGUGAAGUCUGUUAUUCUUGAUGUUGGAUGGAAUUUAUUGAAUUUUGAGCGGUCUUUUGAGAGUGCAGGGUUGCACAUUGUGGUUAUUACCUGAUGAAGGAGUAUUGUUACUGGGAGGAAGCAUUGUAGUAUUUUUUAGUAUUUUAGUAGUUCGGAAUAUAGUUAAUUAUGUGACCCUAACAAGUG
rnacentral:lncRNA from 1 species